AUUGAACGCUGGCGGCAUGCCUUACACAUGCAAGUCGAACGGCAGCACGGGAGCAAUCCUGGUGGCGAGUGGCGAACGGGUGAGUAAUAUAUCGGAACGUGCCCAGUCGUGGGGGAUAACGUAGCGAAAGUUACGCUAAUACCGCAUACGAUCUAAGGAUGAAAGCGGGGGAUCGCAAGACCUCGCGCGAUUGGAGCGGCCGAUAUCAGAUUAGGUAGUUGGUGAGGUAAAGGCUCACCAAGCCAACGAUCUGUAGCUGGUCUGAGAGGACGACCAGCCACACUGGAACUGAGACACGGUCCAGACUCCUACGGGAGGCAGCAGUGAGGAAUAUUGGACAAUGGGCGGCAAGCCUGAUCCAGCCAUGCCGCGUGCAGGAAUAAGGUCCUAUGGAUUGU
rnacentral:rRNA from 1 species